rnacentral:rRNA from 1 species
CGUAGGUGGCAAGCGUUACUCGGAAUCACUAGGCGUAAAGCGCAGGUAGGAGGUUUGGUAAGUCUGUUGUGAAAGCUCCCGGCUUAACUGGGAGAGGUCAACGGAAACUACCAGGCUAGAGUGCGGUAGAGGUAGCUGGAAUUCCCGGUGUAGCGGUGAAAUGCGUAGAUAUCGGGAGGAAUACCUAUGGCGAAAGCAGGCUACUGGACCGCCACUGACUCUGAUCUGCGAAAGCUAGGGGAGCAAACAGGAUUAGAUACCCUGGUAGUCCUAGCCCUAAACGAUGCUCAUUAGGUGUGGGAGGUAUCGACCCUUCCGCGCCGAAGCUAACGCAUUAAAUGAGCCGCCUGGGGAGUACGGCCGCAAGGUUG